CUGUGAGAAUAUAGCAUGUGUUAUAUGACUAAUAGUAAUGUCACCAGCUCAUUAUGCAAACUUGCAUGGAGACACUAAAUGUGUUUUGAAUGCAAAAUGGGUUUAUGUCGCUGGAAAAACACACAAAAGAAGAUUACCUUGCUCAGAGAGUGGAAGACCUGUGAUCUUGAAGCAUCAGCUUGGUUGAACACCAGUAGCUGCUUAAAUCAACUGUCCUGAAAACCACAGAGAGCGCGUGAUGCUGUUUCAUCUUAUCUUCAUGUCACUGGUUUGCUCGGAUCGUGAUGGCUGUGUGGCAGAUUCUACAAAUUAUAAGACC